rnacentral:rRNA from 1 species
GACGAACGCUGGCGGCGUGCUUAACACAUGCAAGUCGAACGGAAAGGCCCUGCUUUUGUGGGGUGCUCGAGUGGCGAACGGGUGAGUAACACGUGAGUAACCUGCCCUUGACUUUGGGAUAACUUCAGGAAACUGGGGCUAAUACCGGAUAGGAUCUCCUGCUGCAUGGUGGGGGUUGGAAAGUUUCGGCGGUUGGGGAUGGACUCGCGGCUUAUCAGCUUGUUGGUGGGGUAGUGGCUUACCAAGGCUUUGACGGGUAGCCGGCCUGAGAGGGUGACCGGACAAAUUGGGACUGAGAUACGGCCCAGACUCCAACGGGAGGCAGCAGUGGGGAAUAGUGCACAAUGGGCGGAAGCCUGAUGCAGCAACGCCGCGUGCGGGAUGACGGCCUUCGGGUUGUAAACCGCUUUCGCCUGUGACGAAGCGUGAGUGACGGUAAUGGGUAAAGAAGCACCGGCUAACUACGUG